rnacentral:sRNA from 1 species
AGAAGGUGUCGACGCAGUCGACGGAUGAGGGGUCGCACCAGCGGCCCCUUUUUUC